GAUGCAGUUUUUGGACUGAAGGAGGAAGGAGAGAUAACUGACACAUUGGUGGAGGAAGAGGAGGAGGAGGAAGAGGAGGAGACAGGAGACCUGAUUAACACCAAGAAGUUUCCGGUUCGUUCUGCAGUGCGUUCCUGUCCGCUUUGCCCCAAGGUUGUGGUCGGCUUCAGUCAGCACCUGAGGAACACGCACAACAUAAGAAACACGGAGGAGAGGAUCCUCCUUUGUAAUUGGCAGUCUGGCCGCGUCAAUAUCAGAAAGGAAACGUGUCCAGUGACGGGAUGUUCCGCCCGCCUCAGUAGGCUGGAUCGACACAUGGAGUCCCACACGGAGCUCAACAGAUCGCAGAGGAGACGAGCUUUAGAGGAACUUAGGAGACGGCUGACCAUGGAGCGGCUGGCCACGUUGAGGGCGUCCAACCCUGUCGUACCGCUUGCCACCCGUUUGGAUAUCGCGGACGGUGUUGCGAAGCAAGAAGACGAGGACGACUCUUUAGAUUCGCUGCUGACUCCUUUGGAAGCGGAGGAGGAGGACGAGGACGUGAGCUGCGAAGCUUAUUCCUGCCACUGCCAAGCGCCGAUCCUGAGGCUGCGGAAAGCUUUGCAAGAGCGGGAUGAAGCCCUGACCAAGAUACGUGAGACCAUCCGAUCCGUUAGAGAGGACAACCUAAAGCUGAUCUCUGAACUGAAUAGAGCGAGGAAGAGGUACCAGCUACUGAAAAGGCAGAAGACGAGUGUCGGGGCGAAGACGGCAAAUGCGAAGUCCAGGUUUCAGACCGAACCGUCUCCUCUUGCGUCAGACACAGAACAAGAGGAGCUGCAGGAGGACCAAGACGUGGGUUCAGGGGCCCGGACAGAGGAGGACACGGCGCCUGGAUCGAGCAGCCAAAUUCCCUUCCCGGGCUCUGCUCUGAGUGUGUUUAUGGAGGGGUUCAGGAAGACCUGUGAAGGUCCAAAUCCAAACAAUAAGCUGAAGCAAGAUUGUGCCGCAAAGCUCAAGAUGGUGCAGCAAUUUUUGACGUACAUGGCGAAGGAUGAGUUUUAUCCAUCCGCUCUGACUUUCCUGACGGACCACAACAACAUGAGGAGAUGGUUUCAGACUCUACAGAAGAACAAGGCCGUCGCCACGGUCGACCACUACGCCUCGACGAUCGGUGCGUUUCUCCAGUACUCCGAGGAGAUGCCUCCGCCUGGUUGCCGGGUGACCAAAAACCAUUGGAAGGAGAUCAACCGGGCAAUGAGGGAGAUUAACGAGUCUGUGAAACGAGCCGUUUCCAGGAAGGAAGGCAAGGUGGUGUCUAUAAAGAGCCUGCUGGAAUGCCAGUCUCUUGCCAAGGUCAAGAUCCCUCAAGUGCUGAAAAUCUUGGAAGAAACGAGGACACAGAGGAACCAGAACCGGUUUUACGGAUUCCUUUGUGCCUAUUUUACCUCCAUGUACGGCCACAGCCCGGGCCUGUAUAGAAACAUGACGGUGAAGGAGGUGGAGGAGGCCCAGUGGGGCCGGUCUGGGACCUAUCUGAUCAAUGUAAGUCUAUAACUACACCUGAACGUGGCCCAGUGGGGCCGGUCUGGGACCUAUCUGAUCAAUGUAAGUCUAUAACUGUCCACCUGAACGUGGCCCAGUGGGGCCUGUCUGGGACCUCUCUGAUCCAACGUAAGUCUAUAA
rnacentral:lncRNA from 1 species